rnacentral:lncRNA from 1 species
UUUAAUUUUUGUUUUAACAGUUCUUGGGGGCAAUUCUUCUAAAAGGAGGUAAUCAAUCACACUGAGUUGACUGAUGACCUACAGCUCUGAAGGAGGAUGAACAAGCAGUAACUUUGACAACCUCACCCAAAGAGCAGACUGGAAGAUCAAACAUGUAUCAGUUCUACCGCUAGAAGAGUCGCAAUUUCAUCUUCCUUGAGACCUCCCAUGUCUAUGUAAGAAACUGUAACGUCUCCAAGAAAACCCUGUGCUUUGCUAACAGCUAUGUUGUCCUCUCCCUCUCUCUCAAUU